UAAAUUAUGGUUUUAGUUCAAGGACUAUAUUGUAAAUGCCUCAAACUUAUAUCCAGGUCAGCAGGUCAAGGAUCCUACAAGACUGUAGUUAACUUGCAUCUGAUCCUUGCAUAUCUGCAGCAAGGACAAAUGUAGUUGAAUUUUUAAGUCAUAUUGUAUCUUAGCAUCAAGAAAUAUAUCACUCGUACAAGUUUCUUCACAUUGCAUAGAUCUCCAAGAAAUAGACUGAUCAAGAGUGUCAGUCUGUUUGAUAUCCCAUUUCUAUUUUCCAACAUUUUUAUUUCCCUAAAACUAAAAUGCCCUGUACUUUAGGUUCCCAAAAAGAAAAGGAAAAGGGUUUGAGAGGUGAUAUGAACAAUUAGUUUGAUAGAGAUAAGAUCUCAACAGCUUGCCUGAAGUUGAAUUUUGGAUGCACACAAAGCUUUUGAAGCAGAAAUCUAGAAUUGGGGCUUGGGAAUAGACAAUUGCAGCAGACUUUACUAAGACAGAGGAUGCUUCAACCAUGAUGCUCUAUUUCCAUGUUAGAUGUAAUAUUUGACAACCAUACGGCUAUUCAGAAGGCUGCAUCUUUACGCUUCAUAGACUAAUAAGAAGUUUCACAUGAGUGAAAUACACAGAGAUUUAGGUUAGGCACCAUAUUUAAAGCCAGAUGAAGGCCUUAAAGUUAUAAAGAAAAUGAACAUACCCAAAGCAAGAUAUAUAUGACGCCCAAUUAAAAGAUUAAUUGGGACAGGACAACAAAAUACACCUCAGUUCAGCAACAUCAAUCUGGAUUCCUGGAGAAAUAAAG
rnacentral:lncRNA from 1 species